GGGUACUGAGGAUCUAUUCCGGACACCAACCCAAAAAAAUGAAAAAUAUCUUAACCAAUUUCUAAAUUAAUACUUAAAAUUAAUAAAUGCACACAUUAGGUAAAUGAGAUUAUUACUAAUUGUCCUCUUCUUGAUUAGCCUUCUUGCUCUGUCACUGAUAGAAUGUUGGUCGCAAGGAAAAGGAAGGUCCAAUCCUAAUUCUAUCAUCUCCCGAUCGAUCGAUAAACCUCAUCUAUAUCAUUCUUUCCUCCUAUUCAUUUCAUUUCCCC
rnacentral:lncRNA from 1 species